UGGACCUUCAGCCAUGAGGAGACACUGUGGACUCACAGUCCUAACUGCAAGGCACCCUGGGAAGGUUGAGAGUGGCCCAGGAGGGGCCAGUUAAGGGAAUUCUUGGUCAUGCCUGCAUCAGGCAGGGGGUUUGAGUUCACUGGGUUCACUGGUCCUGGGACACGUUGAGCUAACAGGCUCCUCACUGCCCAGGGAAGUGGAGACCUGCCUUGAACCUCAGUGAGCACCAAGCGGGCUGUCUCCUGAAGCCUGCACAGGAUGUGGAGGGCGAAGGGGUUGGGGCAGCAAGUACUGGGUAACUGGUGUCAGGCAGGGGCAGGCAGAGGGAAAUCAGGCAUGUUGUGGGCUAUAGGGGUGGCGAUCUGUUCACACCCACUCAUUGUUGAGGGGCUGUGCAGGACAGGAAUGACACAUAGAGUAGUCAACCCUGAGUUCUGCUGAGGGCAACAGUGGACUGGGAGGGGUUUUCUGAGAGAGAAACAGCAGAACAAUGACAUCAAGCAGGGAUGUCAUAGGCAAAUGCUCCUAUCCGGAAAAGGGGUGGUUCAGACCACUAAACCCCACCCCUGAGCUAGGAGAUGUCUUGGGUUCCUGAUGCUGCCAUGGGCUACAGGCUCCUCUGCUAUGUUGCUCUUUGUCUCCUGGGAGCAGGCCCAGUGGAUUCUGGAGUCAUCCAAACCCCAAGACACGUGGUCAAAGCAAAAAGACAGCAAGUGAUGCUGAAAUGUUCCCCUAUUUCUGAGCAUGACACUGUAUCUUGGUACCAACAGGCUCUGGGCCAGGGCCCCAAGUUCCUCAUUCAGUAUUACAAUGGGGAGGUGAGAGAAAAAGGAGAUAUCCCAGAUCGAUUCUCAGGGCAGCAGUUCGGUAACCGAAGCUCUGAGCUGAACCUGACCAUCCUGGAGCUGACGGACUCUGCCCUGUAUCUCUGUGCCAGUAGCUUGGCACAGCGCUGCAGGGGCAGCAGCCAACAGCACAAAAACAUUCCUGCCCUAGCUCAGGAAGUGAUUGCGAGGGUGGCAGCUGCCAGCCAGACAGGCUCGGUCCCUCAUAUAUCAGACAGGCCUUCCACUCACACUCCUCCUGGUGCUUAUAUGUGCUGUGUUUUGUGCUCACAGAAAUCAUGCAAAAUAAAUGUUAUUUUCCUUGUUUACAUAUGUGAGGGGAAGUAACGUUCCAGGGUCCCA